CCUUGGGUGAGUAAGCACAAUCCCUAUAUUGACUGGGCUAAUGGGGAGAUAUUAGAAUGGGGUAAAGAGUGUAUGGGGAGAUGUAUAAAACCAGUACUAAAGAGAUUGGAUACUAUUGACCUUCCCACUACCACUCCCCAAACUCCCGGAGUUCCCAUACAAUACCAAGAACUUCAGGAGGUGUUUAACAAGGCUCAAUCCGAUGUAUUGCCUCCCCACAGAGCAUAUGACUGUGCCAUUAACCUGUUUCCAGGCGCUAUGCCACCUAAGGGGGCAGUUUAUGCCUUAUCUCCCCAGGAAAGUAAAAUAAUGGAGGAAUACAUCAAAAAAUCCUUGAGCAAAGGGCACAUAAGAAAGUCAUC